CAGUAGCCACGGUAAUACGAAGGGGGCUAGCGUUGUUCGGAAUUACUGGGCGUAAAGCGCACGUAGGCGGAUAUUUAAGUCAGGGGUGAAAUCCCAGAGCUCAACUCUGGAACUGCCUUUGAUACUGGGUAUCUUGAGUAUGGAAGAGGUUAGUGGAAUUGCGAGUGUAGAGGUGAAAUUCGUAGAUAUUCGCAGGAACACCAGUGGCGAAGGCGGCUAACUGGUCCAUAACUGACGCUGAGGUGCGAAAGCGUGGGGAGCAAACAGGAUUAGAGACCCGUGUAGUCCCUGUCUCUUAUAC
rnacentral:rRNA from 1 species